rnacentral:rRNA from 1 species
UACGAAGGGGGCUAGCGUUGCUCGGAAUCACUGGGCGUAAAGGGUGCGUAGGCAGGUCUUUAAGUCAGGGGUGAAAUCCCAGAGCUCAACUCUGGAACUGCCUUUGAUACUGGGUAUCUCGAGUAUGGAAGAGGUGAGUGGAAUUCCGAGUGUAGAGGUGAAAUUCGUAGAUAUUCGGAGGAACACCAGUGGCGAAGGCGGCUCACUGGUCCAUUACUGACGCUGAGGUGCGAAAGCGUGGGGAGCAAACAGG